rnacentral:rRNA from 1 species
GAGUUUGAUCCUGGCUCAGGACGAACGCUGGCGGCAUGCCUAACACAUGCAAGUCGAACGGGGAUAGCAAUAUCCUAGUGGCGAACGGGUGAGUAACGCGUGAGUAACCUGCCUCAUACAACGGGAUACCUGAGGGAAACUUCAGUUAAUACGGUAUAAGACCACACUGCCGCAUGGCAGAGGGGUAAAAGGAGCAAUCCGGUAUGAGAUGGACUCGCGUCGCAUUAGCUAGUUGGUGAGGUAACGGCCCACCAAGGCAACGAUGCGUAGCCGACCUGAGAGGGUGAUCGGCCACAUUGGGACUGAGAUACGGCCCAGACUCCUACGGGAGGCAGCAGUGGGGAAUAUUGGGCAAUGGAGGAAACUCUGACCCAGCAAUGCCGCGUGAAUGAAGAAGGUCUUCGGAUUGUAAAGUUCUUUAGUCAGGGAAGAAAAAAAUGACGGUACCUGAAGAAUAAGCUCCGGCUAACUACGUGCCGGCAGCCGCGGUAAUACGUAGGGGGCAAGCGUUAUCCGGAAUUACUGGGUGUAAAGGGAGCGUAGACGGCAAUGCAAGUCCGGAGUGGAAUGCGGCAGCUCAACUGCCGAACUGCUCUGGAAACUGUAUGGCUUGAGUGCAGGAGGGGUAAGCGGAAUUCCUGGUGUAGCGGUGAAAUGCGUAGAUAUCAGGAGGAACACCGGUGGCGAAGGCGGCUUACUGGACUGUAACUGACGUUGAGGCUCGAAAGCGUGGG